rnacentral:lncRNA from 1 species
UACGUCGGUCUAUCUAGAUCGAUCACCAUCCUCAUGAUGAUUCUAUGAUCGCGAGUAUUUAGAAAUUAAAUAUAUAUAUCUCUAAUCUCAAUACUUUGAAAAUAUGUAUCGAAAGUUAAUUCCAUGGGGACAAUUCAAAGACAUAUCACACUUGAAUAAAAAAUAAACUUAUUCUUUUAUUAAUCAAAUCAAUAUAUUAAGUAUAAAAUUAUGUCCUAAAUUUAUUACAAUGUGUCGCCAUAUUGACUUUUAGGAUAUACAUCUAACACAGAUGGUCCGGUAUUAAAGUAC